rnacentral:rRNA from 1 species
UGCGUAGGUGGUUUAGUGAGUUAUGUGUGAAAUCCCCGGGCUUAACCUGGGAGGGUCAGAUAAUACUGCUGAACUAGAGUAUGAGAGAGGGUAGUGGAAUUUCCGGUGUAGCGGUGAAAUGCGUAGAGAUCGGAAGGAACACCAGUGGCGAAGGCGGCUACCUGGCUUAAUACUGACACUGAGGCACGAAAGCGUGGGGAGCAAACA